GUAAGGAUAAUCUCUUAUUGAUCCAGUGUUACUACAGGAGGAAACCUAAACUAAACUAACUUUACUUAUACUGGAUACCUCUAUCAGUUCUAAACUGUUCUUCCAAGAGGCCCAGUCUUAUUGAUCCAGUGUUACUACAGGAGCAAACUUAGACUAAACUAAAUUUAUUUACAACAAGAUUCACAAAACGUUGUGCUUAAAUUUCCUUUGUAGACCACAAUGCAUUCUGAUUUGAAUACGUCGUCGUUUUUGUUGAAAAGGUCCAUAUCGAAUAGCUUGCUCCAUCCAGUUUAUACCGUUACUGUACGAUCAGUGAAAUCGUCAUUCUUCAAAGGAAAAUUCAAGGAUAAGAAAUGAAGUAAGGAAAUUUCGCUGAAUUUUAAAAACUUUCUCAGUGUCUCGCUCAAAAGAACGAGUUAUCAUGGGCUUAGUUUGAUUGAAAUUUCAACAGCAAACUAUUUAUUCGUCAUAAAAUACAAGACUACAAGAAAUAAUAAAGAGAAACGUUGUUUUGUUGACACGGAAUCGCCACAAUAUUUGACAAGGAAAUUUGCUAUUAUGGAACUGAACAAUCCUCAUUAGAUAUUCAACAUGGCGAACGGUGGUGCUUUUUUGGCUUUUGUUGCUGUUGUUGCUGCGAUCGGCUUUAAUUUCUCUUUGCAUAAAAUUGAAGAAGGU